rnacentral:rRNA from 1 species
UGGGGAAUAUUGCACAAUGGGCGCAAGCCUGAUGCAGCCAUGCCGCGUGUGUGAAGAAGGCCUUCGGGUUGUAAAGCACUUUCAGCGGGGAGGAAGGCGUUAAGGUUAAUAACCUUGGCGAUUGACGUUACCCGCAGAAGAAGCACCGGCUAACUCCGUGCCAGCAGCCGCGGUAAUACGGAGGGUGCAAGCGUUAAUCGGAAUUACUGGGCGUAAAGCGCACGCAGGCGGUCUGUCAAGUCGGAUGUGAAAUCCCCGGGCUCAACCUGGGAACUGCAUUCGAAGCUGGCAGGCUGGAGUCUUGUAGAGGGGGGUAGAAUUCCAGGUGUAGCGGUGAAAUGCGUAGAGAUGUGGAGGAAUACCGGUGGCGAAGGCGGCCCCCUGGACAAAGACUGACGCUCAGGUGCGAAAGCGUGGGGAGCAAACAGG